UACGUAGGGUGCGAGCGUUAAUCGGAAUUACUGGGCGUAAAGCGUGCGCAGGCGGUUCGUUGUGUCGGCGGUGAAAUCCCCGGGCUCAACCUGGGAAUGGCCGUUGAAACUGGCGAACUGGAGUGUGGCAGAGGGGGGUGGAAUUCCGCGUGUAGCAGUGAAAUGCGUAGAGAUGCGGAGGAACACCGAUGGCGAAGGCAGCCCCCUGG
rnacentral:rRNA from 1 species